AUGAACGCUAGCGGCAGGCUUAAUACAUGCAAGUCGAGGGGCAUCAAGGUACACGAAAGUGUAUUGUUGGCGACCGGCGGACGGGUGAGUAAUAGGUAGGUAACCUACCUCAUACUGAGGCAUAGCUGGGAGAAAUUCCAGGUAAUUCCUCAUGAGGUUAUACGACACAUGUGAUAUAAUCAAAGGUAUCGCAAGGUACUGGUAUGAGAUGGGCUUACUGACCAUUAGCUAGUUGGUGAGAUAAGAGCUCACCAAGGCGAAGAUGGUUAGGGGUUUUGAGAGAGAGAUCCCCCACAUUGGAACUGAGAUACGGUCCAGACUCCUACGGGAGGCAGCAGUAGGGAAUAUUGGGCAAUGGGCGGAAGCCUGACCCAGCCAUGCCGCGUGAAGGAAGAAGGUUCUAUGGAUUGUAAACUUCUUUUGCAGGGGAAUAAAGGACGGUACGUGUACUGUUUUGUAUGUACCUUGCGAAUAAGGAUCGGCUAACUCCGUG
rnacentral:rRNA from 1 species